CCUACGGGUGGCUGCAGUGGGGAAUAUUGCACAAUGGGCGGAAGCCUGAUGCAGCAACGCCGCGUGCGGGAUGACGGCCUUCGGGUUGUAAACCGCUUUCGCCUGUGACGAAGCGUGAGUGACGGUAAUGGGUAAAGAAGCACCGGCUAACUACGUGCCAGCAGCCGCGGUGAUACGUAGGGUGCGAGCGUUGUCCGGAUUUAUUGGGCGUAAAGGGCUCGUAGGUGGUUGAUCGCGUCGGAAGUGUAAUCUUGGGGCUUAACCCUGAGCGUGCUUUCGAUACGGGUUGACUUGAGGAAGGUAGGGGAGAAUGGAAUUCCUGGUGGAGCGGUGGAAUGCGCAGAUAUCAGGAGGAACACCAGUGGCGAAGGCGGUUCUCUGGGCCUUUCCUGACGCUGAGGAGCGAAAGCGUGGGGAGCGAACAGGAUUAGAUACCCGUGUAGUC
rnacentral:rRNA from 1 species